AUUUCAUUUGUAUGCUCGGGACAACUGUAAAACCAUGGCCGCGGUCUGUGCACAAGAGCAAGGAGGCGGUAUGCGUCCCAUAGCAUUCUUUUCCAAAGUAGUUCGAGCUCCGGUACAGGGUAUGCCGGCGUGUCUCAGAGCAUUGAUAGCAUGUGCAAUGGCUGUUGAAACUGCUACUACUAUCACACUAGGGCAUCCUACAAUACUUCAUGCCAGUCACCAGGUCACUCAGCUGAUAACAAAUCUCACCACACAACACAUGACAGCCCAGCACUUAAGUGGUUAUGAGAUUCUUUUUUUAAAUACCCACAAUCUGUCUUUUGGAUUAAACAAGGUUUAGAGAAAGAUCAAAAUGAUCUGUUCUCUAAAGAGGGGAGAAUAGGCAUACUUGAAGAAUAGGCAUACUUGAAGCAAGCGGAUUUAUUUUCAUCAGUCAGGCACAUAGCAAGCACCAUUCAAUUCCUCAUGAAUUCAUUUUAUAUUAGGAAUCUUAGGCAGCAUGUACAGUCUUUUGUAAGAUCGUGUGAACGCUGCUCUUUUUACACACUUACAGAUUGAUUUUAUUCAUGUAUCCAAAAUUGGUAAGAAACAGCAAUACUUACUGGUCAUAGUUGAUCAGUUUAGUAGAUGGCAUGAGGCCUUUGUGAUAUCUAGGGAAGAUUCUAGUGAAGAUUAUUGUUGCUGAAAUUAUUCCCAGGUAUUGCUGCCCUCUGCAGAUUGGCUCUGAUAAUGGCCCGGUUUUUGCAAGUAGGGUUGCCCAGGAACUUGCUAAAUUCUUGCAAGUUACCUGGCAGUUUCAUAUACCCUAUCAUCCACAGAAUACAGGGGUAGUUGAAAGGAUGAAUAGGACUAUUAAGGAAAAGCCCAGAAUUUACCCAGGAACAUGGGUAAAUUGGACUAGAUAUCUACCAGCUAUUUUAGCUGAGAUAAGAAUAUAUCCCCACAAGGUGAAUUGUUGAUAAAACCGAAUGGUAUGUAUGACAAUGUUUCUUCGCAGUUUUCCCUUACCUUCACAGGAACCUACUCAUUCAUACCAGCCCGGUGACAAGGUGUAUAUCCGUCAGUUGAACAGGACCAAGAAAGGAGGAUACCCUUUUGGACCACCUGCUACUGUGAUUGCUGUACCCAGAACCGCUGUCCUCACAGAUUCCCAUGACAUCUGGAUUCACGCAUCCCGAGUGAAGCUGUGUCCAAAGAGGGGAACCAAGGAAGACAACACCACUCCUCGCUCGGAAACAGAAGAAUUUCUCCUCAGCGAAGCAUCAUGGCUUUUACACCAUAUCGUAGAUUGAGAGGAUCAUACGUACCUGAGACCAAGAUUAUGUUGUGUGCUAUGCUUUCUGGAGUUGUUAUACUCCCUCUGAUAUUGUUCCUUGAAUGCCAUUAUGAGUACAAGUCAAUGGCAAGUUCUGGAAAAAGACUCUGACAUGAUGAACAAUUCUUCAAUACCCCCAGCCCAAUUAGGCCUUAGCCCCUCAUCUAGCAUUCGUCACACACGCCCCCUCAAGAACCUUUCUCCACCACCUUUCUAUCAGCAUGUAAUAUGCAAUCAUUCAUUCACUGAACGCAUUUGGAUGAAUUGGACAAAUAGUAACCCUUAUAAGUACCAGUUACCCAUAUGAAAUGUGUCUACAGCUAAUGAAACCGAUGCAUUAUGUUUGUUUAAAGGUUCACAGAAAAUUGUUAGAUCUUAUAACGCAGAAAUGUGCACAGUUAAGGUUGCAUAUCAAUGUAAAUAGACAGGCCUUAUUACUUUUAAUAAUGAUUAUACAACUGGUAUCAUUAAUUGGAAAAGGGGACAAAUGUUAGUCAUUAUGAACGACACUACAAUUGAGAACUAUACACUACCUUAUAUUUUUACACCUUAUUACUGUCCUUUAUCCACUACCAUAGAACCAAAAGUCAAACACGACACAAACACACACCUAUUUCGUCCACAUGUAUUAAUACAACUGCCUUCUUACAAGCUGUACAUGUGUCAUUAAAAAUCACUACUCCUGUUGUAACAUUAUGUAAUACAACAAACAAAGGCAGAAAAGGGAAUGGUAUGACACACUGUUAGAUGGUGCUGGAACCACUAUGAGUAUACUAAAUAGUUAUAGAUAUGGAGACCCUCAAGAAUAAGUUAAACACAGCCAGCAUGCAUAUAGGGACUGGUUUUCAUGCUACUGCAAAUUGGGCUCCAAUUGUUGUUAAAUCACAGGUUAUAGGAUUGGAUUUAGAUAAAUCAAUGUAUAACUAUUUAGAUAAUUUAACUGUUGCAACUAUGAAAUUCACUACAGGUCUAAGUAACUGGAGUACUUGUGCCAUCAGGUAUUUAUGGAUACAACAACAAGGAUUGGCAUUAGAAAACACACUAAUGAUUCCUAAACUAGAGAAGAUUAGAGGAAAGCGUAACCUCACAGAUAAUGAUUGGUUACUUCUAAAACCCCAAUCCAGUAAAUGCAAUGGAUGGUUAACUGGUAAUGUUUCACAUUUUUCAUGCUCUUGCUAUUUUACAUUAUAUCAUACAUCAUCAAAGGAUGUUAAAUUAGCUUGUCAAUUUAACACAUUACCAGUACCAGUUUAUGAUCUUUUUGCCAAGAAUUUAACCUGGUGGGCACCCACAUACACAGGGGACUAUAUUUUUCCCAAAGAUAACACACACAGGUAGCCACACAUAUCCUAAAAGGAGAACUCCUUAAGGUGAGUUCACAAAUUCAGAAUGAUUUAGCCCAUCAUUGGUACAAUGCUUUACUGGUUGGUCCCCUACUGGAUCCCAGAUAAUGAAAUCAUUCUUCUAUCAUUUUGUUAUUAUAGUCCUGAUUUUAUUGUGUAUGAUUUUAUAUAACUGUCAUCUUGUUUGUACAUUGAGGAAGAGAGUACAGAAAUUAAUCCAUAAUGCAGAACAGAAACAAUUAAAAAUUCUCCUCUCUGCCACUGUAGAGUAUCAACCCAUCUUUAAACUGGGCCUUAGGAAUUACCACAUGGGAAUCGAGGUGAAGAAAUUAAUGAAAGUCCCGCAGGGAGUGACUAGCACCCCUGAAAAUACCAUGUGGAAGUUUCUCUGUCCUGGUAAGAUUUUAUCGAUAAGAUGAG
rnacentral:lncRNA from 1 species